rnacentral:rRNA from 1 species
GCAGUUGUCGCGCCAGCGGCAGUGCUGCAUAGCUAUGUACGGACGGGAUAACCGCUGAAAGCAUCUAAGCGGGAAACCCACCUCAAAACGAGUAUUCCCUUGAGAACCGUGGUAGACCACCACGUUGAUAGGCCGGGUGUGUAAGUGCGGCAACGCAUGUAGCUUACCGGUACUAAUCGUUCGAUUGGCUUGAUUGC